CUAUGAUUUACAACUAAUGUGGCUGAAGAACAUAGAGUAACUCAACACGAAAUCACCCAUGUACACCCAUUUUGGGGGAGGAGGUAACAACAUCCAUGAGCAAAGUCAGUUGGAUAGUAAAAACAAAUAUGCAGAACAUUCAUAUUAAAAUCAUUACUAGCACCCUCACCUAUCCCUGGCCUCUCGAGAGCAUGGUACGUCUCUUGCAACUUACAAGAGACCCAUCCCAAGUGAC